rnacentral:rRNA from 1 species
UUAACCUACGGGGGGCAGCAGUGGGGGAUAUUGCACAAUGGGGGGAACCCUGAUGCAGCGACGCCGCGUGGGCGAUGGAGUGCUUCGGCAUGUAAAGCCCUAUCAGCAGGGAAGAAAAUGACGGUACCUGACUAAGAAGCCCCGGCUAAAUACGUGCCAGCAGCCGCGGUAAUACGUAUGGGGCAAGCGUUAUCCGGAUUUACUGGGUGUAAAGGGUGCGUAGACGGGAAUGCAAGUUGGUUGUGAAAUCCCUCGGCUUAACUGAGGAACUGCAACCAAAACUACAUUUCUUGAGUGCUGGAGAG